AGAAAGAAAUUUGGAAAAUUUCUGAGCCAAUACAGUGCUGGAACCGCCAAGUACAGUACUCUUUUGGUGGCUCAGGACGAAUGUCUCAAACGAUCUGAUUGUGGAGGUAUAACAUACGAAUCCUUCUCCAAAAAGUACUCUCUACGAAAAGGAACCGAAUUCAAGGAUAGUCCCUCCGGCCUCGAAAUGUCCUGGAUACAUGAAGAGAAUUAGACUAGAAGAAUGAUGGAAGCAGGUAUAAUUUGGAGUUUGGACAGCUGUUCGUCGAGAGAUGAUUACUAUAUUAGAUCUGGAUUUCGGGAGGGACAUGAACAAUUAUAUUUAUAUUUAAAUCUAAUUUCAGUUUGACUCGUGACAGUUAUUUUAAGUUUUCAUAAGUAAACGCUUAUAAGUGAAACUUUAUUCAAAAGCUCAAAGU